rnacentral:rRNA from 1 species
AUAGCGUAUAUUAAAGUUGUUGCAGUUAAAAAGCUCGUAGUUGAACCUUGGGCCUAGCCGGCCGGUCCGCCUCACCGCGUGCACUGGCUCGGCUGGGCCUUUCCUUCUGGAGAACCGCAUGCCCUUCACUGGGUGUGCUGGGGAACCAGGACUUUUACUCUGAACAAAUUAGAUCGCUUAAAGAAGGCCUAUGCUCGAAUACAUUAGCAUGGAAUAAUAGAAUAGGACGUGCGGUUCUAUUUUGUUGGUUUCUAGGACUGCCGUAAUGAUUAAUAGGGAUAGUCGGGGGCAUCCGUAUUCAAUUGUCGGAGGUGAAAUUCUUGGAUUUAUUGAAGACGAACUACUG